CCUUGUACACACCGCCCGUCACACCAUGGGAGCGGGUUCUGCCAGAAGUAGUUAGCCUAACCGCAAGGAGGGCGAUUACCACGGCAGGGUUCGUGACUGGGGUG
rnacentral:rRNA from 1 species